UACGUAGGGGCUAGCGUUAUCCGGAAUUACUGGGUGUAAAGGGCGUGUAGGCGGGCAUGUAAGUCAGAUGUGAAAUCCCCGGGCUCAACCCGGGACGUGCAUCUGAAACUGCAUGUCUUGAGUGUCGGAGAGGAAAGCGGAAUUCCCAGUGUAGCGGUAAAAUGCGUAGAUAUUGGGAGGAACACCAGUGGCGAAGGCGGCUUACUGGACUGUAACUGACACUGAGGCUCGAAAGCGUGUGGAGCAAACAGGAUUAGAUACCCCGGUAGUCCCU
rnacentral:rRNA from 1 species